ACCUGCCCACUGAUUAAUUUAAUGGCCGCAGUAAUUUGACUGUGCAAAGGUAGCAUAAUCAUUAGUUUUUUAAUUGAAAGCUUGUAUGAAUGGUUGGACGAGAUAAAAUCUGUCUCUAUUUAAAUUAUUUUAGAAUUUUAUUUUUAAGUUAAAAGCUUAAAUAUAUGUAAAAGACGAGAAGACCCUAUAGAUCUUUAUAUUUUUUUAUAUAAUUUUAUUAAAGAAUUUUACAAUUUUUAUAUAUAUAAAUAUUUUAUUGGGGUAAUAAAAAGAUUUAUUAAAUUCUUUUUUUUAUUUAAUAUAGAUUAAUAGAUAUUUGAUCCAAUAUAUUUUGAUUAUAAGAUUAAGUUACCUUAGGGAUAACAGCGUAAUUUUUUUUGAGAGUUCAUAUCGAUAAAAAAGUUUGCGACCUCGAUGUUGGAUUAAAAAUUAUUUUAGGUGUAGAAGUCUAAAAAUUUGGUCUGUUCGACCAUUAAAUUUU
rnacentral:rRNA from 1 species